UACGUAGGGGGCAAGCGUUGUCCGGAAUCAUUGGGCGUAAAGCGCGUGUAGGCGGCUUGGUAAGUCCGCUCUGAAAGCCCGGGGCUCAACCCCGGGAGGCGGGUGGAUACUGUCAAGCUCGAGUCCGGAAGAGGCGAGUGGAAUUCCUGGUGUAGCGGUGAAAUGCGCAGAUAUCAGGAGGAACACCAAUGGCGAAGGCAGCUCGCUGGGACGUGACUGACGCUGAGACGCGAAAGCGUGGGGAG
rnacentral:rRNA from 1 species